AGUGAAUGUAGUUUAUUCAAAAUUUUAGUCUGUGAACCUAAAGAUGGGGGCUAAUUACCCCCCUAUUCACCG
rnacentral:tRNA from 1 species